rnacentral:rRNA from 1 species
GAUGAACGCUAGCGGGAGGCUUAAUACAUGCAAGUCGGACAGUAACAGGUCUUCGGACGCUGACGAGUGGCGAACGGGUGCGUAACGCGUACACAACCUACCUUUUACUGGGGGAUAGUUUUGGGAAACUGGGAGUAAUACCCCAUUCGUUUGAGCUGCGGCAUCGCGGUUCAAAGAAAGGUUUACUGGUGAGAGAUGGGUGUGCGUCCAAUUAGGUAGUUGGUAGGGUAACGGCCUACCAAGCCGACGAUUGGUAGCUGGUCUGAGAGGAUGAUCAGCCACACGGGCACUGAGACACGGGCCCGACUCCUACGGGAGGCAGCAGUAAGGAAUAUUGGUCAAUGCCCGCAAGGGUGAACCAGCCAUUCCGCGUGGAGGAUGAAGGCCCUAUGGGUUGGUAAACUUCUUUUAGAUGGGAAGAAAAUAGCUAGAUGUAUCUGGUACUGACGGUACCAUCAGAAUAAGCACCGGCUAACUCC